GCGCCCUAAUUUUUUUGUUAAUCGUGCUAUUAGGGCGAUUGAAUUUAGCGGCCGCGAAUUCGCCCUUAGAGUUUGAUCCUGGCUGAGGAUGAACGCUAGCGGCAGGCAUAAUACAUGCAAGUUGAACGGGAUAGAUUGAGUUUACUUGAUCUUGAGAGUGGCGCACGGGUGCGUAACACGUAUGCAACUUACCUUAAACUGGGGGAUAGCCCGUGGAAACAUGGAUUAAUACCCCAUAGUAUAAUGAACAAGCAUUUGUUUAUUAUUAAAGCUCCGGCGGUUUAAGAUGGGCAUGCGCGUCAUUAGCUAGAUGGUAAGGUAACGGCUUACCAUGGCUACGAUGACUAGGGGGUCUGAGAGGAUUUCCCCCCACACUGGUACUGAGACACGGACCAGACUCCUACGGGAGGCAGCAGUAGGGAAUAUUGGGCAAUGGACGCAAGUCUGACCCAGCCAUGCCGCGUGCAGGAAGACGGCCCUCUGGGUUGUAAACUGCUUUUAUUAGGGAAGAAACCCUUCUACGUGUAGAAGGCUGACGGUACCUAAGGAAUAAGGAUCGGCUAACUCCGUGCCAGCAGCCGCGGUAAUACGGAGGAUCCAAGCGUUGUCCGGAUUUAUUGGGUUUAAAGGGUGCGUAGGCGGACUUUUAAGUCAGAGGUGAAAGCCGGUAGCUUAACUAUCGAAUUGCCUUUGAAACUGAAAGUCUUGAAUUUUGUUGAGGUAGGCGGAAUGUAUCAUGUAGCGGUGAAAUGCAUAGAUAUGAUACAGAACACCGAUUGUGAACGCAGCUUACUAAGCAAACAUUGACGCUGACGCACGAAAGCGUGGGGAUCAAACAGGGUUAGAUACCCUGGUAGUCCACGCCGUAAACGUUGAAUACUUGCUGUUGGCGAUAUACAGUCAGCGGCUCAGCGAAAGCGUUAAGUAUUCCACCUGGGGAGUACGCUCGCAAGAGUGAAACUCAAAGGAAUUGACGGGGCCCGCACAAGCGGAGGAGCAUGUGGUUUAAUUCGAUGAUACGCGAGAACUUACUGGGCUUGAAUGUGGAUUGACGCUGGGAAACAGCCUUCUCUUCGAGCACGAAACAAGUGCUGCAUGCUGUCGUCAGCUCCUGGCGGUGGAGGGGUUGGUAAUUCCGCACAGAGCGCCACCCCCCUUCUUUUAUUUGCUACAGUAAUGGCGUAGGAUCUACAAGACUGCUUACUUUAUUAAAAAAGGUGGGGGCGCUCACCUCUUGCCCUAGUCAGGUUACCGCUCCGAGGUGUGCCAAAGGGGUCCU
rnacentral:rRNA from 1 species